UUAAUCACUCAUGUGGCCACAGCAGAGAGACUACCAAGCUCUUCUCGAAUUAGACUCAGGGUGAGAGACAGAGACUUUAUUGGACUUCUAAACGCAGACUGUUUCCACUUUACACAAACGGACACAAGGGCACGAUCUGGACGACCACAAGUGAUAAAACCCUCCUGAGACGUUAACACACAGGCCUUUGAUACUGGAGUGCUGGUUCUCUACAGCCUUGAGCAUGUGUGGGCAACCUUCCCGAGCAUUAUGAUAUCGCACUACCCUCUGGCAUCACUGCUCCCCUGGCCACCCGUCCCACAGCUCCUGGAUAUAGAUGGGGAUGGAGGGGUGGCCCUGCAGAGGUACCAGCCACGGUCCCCGGAGACCGGCCCUCGAUACUGGAGCUCAGUGCAGGACUGGGGAGAGGAGGUUGAGGAAGGAGCCAUAUACAACGUGACGCUGAAGAGGGUCCAAAUUCAGCAGGCCGCUAACAAAGGAGCAAGAUGGCUGGGGGCGGAGGGUGACCGUUUGCCCCCGGGUCACACGGUCAGUCAGUUGGAGACGUGUAAAAUCAGAAGCAUUCGAGCAGGGACUCUUGAACGCCUGGUAGAAACGCUCCUUACAGCAUUCGGUGACAAUGACCUUACCUACACCAGCAUCUUCCUCUCCACGUACAGGGCCUUUGCCUCAACGCAGAGCGUCCUGGAGUUGCUGCUGGACAGGUAUGGCAGUUUUGAGGAUUGUGAAGGAGAGCGUAGCCAAUGUCAGACUGGAGAGAGCAGAAAAGCUGUUAGAAAAGCUUUGGCCUCUAUUCUGAGAGCCUGGCUGGAUCAGUGUCCAGAGGACUUCCAGGAACCUCCGUCAUAUCCGAGCUUGCAUCGUGUGCUGGGUUUCCUGCAGAAGGCCAUGCCAGGCUCAGAGCCAAUGCGCCGCGCUCAGAGUCUGCUAGAACAAUUGCGUGUCCAGGCCAGCCUAGAGAACGAGACUGAAGGAGGCUUUCAGUACAUCAACCCGUUUUGCCUUGGGGAGGAUGAGGAAGUGGAGAUUGACUUGCAGGAGGACUUCUUCUCCUUCGAGGUUGACCUCGUAGCAGAGCAGCUGACCUAUAUGGAUGCGCUGUUAUUUAAGAAGGUGGUUCCUCAUCACUGUUUGGGCUCGAUUUGGUCUCAGCGUGAUAAAAAGGAUGGCAAACAGAGUGCACCAACCAUCCGUGCCACCAUCACGCAGUUUAACGCGGUAACGGCGUGUGUGGUCAGCACUAUCCUCCGUCAGCGGCAGAUACGCCCGCAUUUGCGUGCUCGCAUCAUACAGCGCUGGAUCGACAUCGCACAGGAGUGUCGCAUUCGGAAGAACUUCUCGUCUCUAAGAGCCAUCGUGUCUGCUCUGCAGUCCAACCCCCUCUACAGACUAAAGAGGACAUGGGCAUCUGUUGCUAAAGACAGCAUGCAGAUGUUUGAAGAGCUUUCUGACAUUUUCUCCGACCAAAAUAAUUACCUUACAAGCCGGGAGCUGCUAAUGAGGGAGGGCACUUCAAAGUUUGCCAGUCUGGACAGCUGUGCCAAAGACCACCAAAAAAGGUCACAAAAGAGACUUCAGUUACAAAAAGAUAUGGGUGCCAUGCAGGGGACUAUCCCAUACCUGGGUACAUUUCUCACAGAUCUGACCAUGCUUGACACAGCCCUGCCUGACCAAGUGGAGGGAGGACUGAUUAAUUUCGAGAAGCGGCGCAGGGAGUUUGAAGUGAUCGCUCAGAUUAAGCUCCUGCAGUCUGCUUGCAACAGUUACUGUCUGACCCCUGACCCUGCAUUUUUGCGCUGGUUUAAAAGUCAGCCGCAGUACUCAGAGGAGGAGAGCUAUGUGCUGUCAUGUGAAGUCGAAGGACUGGGAGACAACAGCCCGACUUCACCAAAACCCAGAAAAAGCAUGGUGAAGAGACUGAGCCUACUCUUCUUAGGUAAUGACAGCACAAACACCAGCUCUCCUGUGAGAGAAAGUCCUCGAUCGCCUCCUACUGGCAGCUCUGGGGAGAGCAUGGACUCGGUCAGCGUGUCCUCCAGUGACUCCAGUCCCUCAGAGAGUGACGGCAUGACACCGACACACUCUAUAGACGCUCACUUGAAGAAGCUGUCCGAGUCUUCCUCCUGCAACUCAUUGCACUCCAUGGACACCUCGUCUUCUACAGCAAGCGCCUCCAUUUCUCUGGCGUCCCCGACUUUACCCGGGCCACCCUGCAACCACCGGCGCUCCAUCUCACUGACGCCCUUGAUGAGCCCCACCUCACCCGGGUUUCCACCCGCCUAUAACACGCAAGCUCAAGAUGCCUGCAUCAUCCGAGUGAGCCUCGAACAGGGGAAUGGCAACCUCUACAAGAGCAUCAUGCUGACCAGUCAGGACAAAACUCCAGCGGUGAUCUCUCGAGCCAUGACCAAACACAACCUGGAGGGCGAGCAGGCGGCUGACUAUGAGCUGGUGCAGGUCAUCUCAGAGGAGAGAGAGCUGGUUAUCCCCGACAACGCUAAUGUGUUUUACGCCAUGAGCACAUCGGCGAACUUCGACUUCCUGCUGCGUCUACGAGGCUCCGAGGGAAGGCCGGUUCAGCUCCGCAGCCGCUGCAGCUCCACACUCCCGUGCACACAGCAGCGCUCCAGUCUGUCCCUCAGACUCAGCAAGGUCACCCUGUGACGAAAAGACUGGAGGAGUGCUGAAAAGUGGGCUCAGUAGACAAUUGCUCGGGGAGCAUCUCCAGUUCUUCCAUUUCUGCCUUUUGAAACAAAAAGGGCACUUUCAGAAUAAUAGCAUGUGCCUCCACCUCCCCAUCUGGCCCUAUUUUAUCCCAUCCUCCCUAUUGCUGGAUAUUUUGCACACAUGCAGGAAAGUCUCCUGCUCCUCGUCAGUAUUUGCAUAAGAGCACAUCUCUUCCCAGGCAUGAGGCCUAUUUGACCUCCUCUAAUAAGUGAGAGGGGAAUGAAUUAAGCUUUGGGAAGAGAACUCAAAUGACAGCCAUGUUGCCUUUAUGGAUGGUAACGGUGGAACUCUUGCGUCAGUAUUGAAGAUGAUCUGCAGUAGCUAUGAUGUCAUCGUCGUCAUUGUCAUCAAUGUGUCUUUCGCCCGUCCCCUUGUGCACUGUGUGGACAAUGUGGACUCAAUCUAUAGAUUAUAGGGAUAGAUCAGCCAAAAAUGGCUUUUUGUCUUAAAUUGUUCCCCCUCCACUGGUUCUUAACUUGUUUGACUUCCUUCUGUUGAACACAGAAGAAGAUAUUUUGAAGCAUGUUGGAAACCGGUAGCCAUUGGCUUCCAUUUUUUUCCAUACCUUAGAUCUCAAUAGCUACCAUUUUCCAACUAAUUUCCAAAAGGUUUUCAAAACACUAUUGGGUGAGAAAAUAGUAAGUAAAUUUUCAUUUUUGGGUGAACUAUCCCCUAAAAUGCUUAGACUGGCUCACUAAGAACUCCUAUUUUGAGGCCAAACUUGAGAAUAAAUAAAUAGUUUGUGCUAGAUAUUAUAAUUAAUAGAUAUAUACGUUUAAAAAAGUCUUAAACCUCAUGUCUGCCUAUAUUCUCUCUGCCUAAUCUAAGCAUUUUAUUUCUAUUUCUGUAUUUCUCAUAUUGUGAGCUGCAUGACGAAUGCCUUAAAUGCGUUCUGAUUGGUUCCUGCUUGGUUUUAUCAAGUCUGUGGUGUUUGUUUGUUUUCACUGUUUUCAGGGUGUGUCUUUAAGGUGUGGUUACAAGCACCGAUAGGAUGGGUUUCUGUUCAGAAACCUGGAUUGAGUCGCCUUCCUCACUGAUACAGUGGCACUUCCUGUGGAGUGGACAGAUUGUGCGUGUGUGUGUGUGUGUGUGUGAGUGUGUAUGCUAGAUGGAGCGCUUGGUCCACUUUUUUUGUAGCUUUCCUGUCUUUUUUUCUUCAGGCAGUGCUAUAUUAAUGGUAUACUUUUCUUUUAUAUAUAUGAAUGCGUGUAUGUUUUUUGUAAGAGAUGAAGAAUUAUCCAUGAUUUCUAUGAAAAAAAGGAAGUUUUAAAGAGAUUUUGUUAACUAAAAAAAGAAAAAAUGUAAAAAGCUGUGAAAUAUGAGUGUGUGUGAUUGUAAAGUGAGCAUUAAAACAAGUCAGAUAUUUCCAUUAACCAGCAGAAAUAUUCAAUUGUACCCCUGUUGCCAACAUUUUCCAGAGCCUUUAAUACCUUUAAGACUUUGUACACCUGGUGAAUAUCAGUUCACAAAUGCAUGUUUUACACUGUGGCGUAUUAACAUCAAAAGGUUUCAGAGUUUCAAAAGGCUUUUUUUUGUUCUUAAUCCUGUUUGUUCUCUACAUAAUUCUCAUGAGCCUGGUAUGUAACACAUUUUCUCUGACUCCUGUUGAUAUGUUAACAGAUGUGCCAAACUUGCCCCCUUUGCCUUUUUGUUCACUCACUAUAAUUGAAAGACCCUUAUUUUUGUUACAUUGUACAUGUAGGACUUCGAUGACACUAACAGAUUCAACGUGGUAAAAUGUAGUGUUUUAACAGUAGCGGGGCAGCAGUAUUUGUUUGUGUUUUGAUUCAUUUGUCUUGAUUUCAGAUUUUUUUCAGCACUUGUGAAUUUCUCCUCAGUUCUUUAUUUUGAAUAUUUCUUCACUACCAAAGAGUUAUCUACGGCGAGUCAGUGAAUAAAUUAUUAUCAUUAUGAUGUUUUGUAAUUUGAAUAUUAAUUUUCAUGAAUUAAAUGAAGACUCUGAAAUGUA